AUGACCAUCCAAGAUCCGGGCCGGCGCAUCAUGGCUCGCGUCAAACGGACGAUGAGCAGAUUGUACACGGGCGUACUGAGCAUCGACGCCCCAGCCUGUCUCCUCACCAAGAUUGAAGAUGUCACCUGGCGAUGGCAUGCGAGGAUGGGACACCUGCACUUUAGAGCUUUGCGAGCCAUGUCUUCGAAGGAAAUGGUACGCGGGAUGCCAGUCAUUGACCGCGUCGAGGAGUACUGUGAUGGUUGUGCAUUGGGCAAACAGCACUGUGCCCCUUUUCCUCAAGUGGCCGGAUACAGAGCAGAGAAAGGCCUUGAGCUUGUUCAUACAGACUUGUGUGGGCCAAUCACACCAACCACAUCGGGUGGCAGUCAGUAUUUCUUGCUGAUAGUUGACGAUUACAGUCGAUACAUGUGGUUGGACUUGCUGAAAUCCAAGGAUGAAGCUCAUCAGAAGUUCAAGAAAGUGCAGGCAAUGGCUGAGAACGAGGGGAAAUGCAGGCUUCGUGCAUUCCGGUCUGACCGGGGGGGUGAGUUCAACUCCAUUGAGUUCAAAGAAUACUGCGAGCAGCUGGGCAUCAAACACUACACGACCACCCCGUACUCCCCUAAGCAGAACGGAGUGGUUGAACGCCGGAAUCAGACCAUCGUCAAGAUGGCGCGUUGCCUGCUCAAAAGCAUGGCCGUGCCGUCAUAUUUCUGGGCUGAAGCAGUGAAGACCGUGGUGUACCUUCUCAAUAGAGCUCCCACGCGGAGCUUCGACGGGGUGACGCCGUAUGAGGCUUGGCACGGCCACAAGCCAAGCGUGCUGCACCUACGUGUGUUUGGGUGUGUGGCACAUGUCAAAAAGCUUGGCCCUGGAGUGACGAAGCUCUCGGAUCGAUCAACCCCAAUGAUCUUCGUAGGCUACGAGGAAGGAACCAAGGGCUAUCGUGUGUACAAUCCGGCUACACAAAAGGUACAAGUCACACGUGAUGUUUUAUUUGAGGAGAGCAGGCCAUGGACUUGGAAUGCAUAGGGCGCGGUCACGGCGCCCACGCCGACGACGUUCACUGUGGUCUAUGCAAAUGACCAUGGUGUGCACGAGCUGGACACGGGCUGCUCACCUACGCCUGCACCGAGGAGCGCGGCACCACCACCCUCUACGCCA
rnacentral:rRNA from 1 species